AAAUUGAAGAGUUUGAUCAUGGCUCAGAUUGAACGCUGGCGGCAGGCCUAACACAUGCAAGUCGAACGGUAACAGGAAGCAGCUUGCUGCUUCGCUGACGAGUGGCGGACGGGUGAGUAAUGUCUGGGAAGCUGCCUGAUGGAGGGGGAUAACUACUGGAAACGGUAGCUAAUACCGCAUAAUGUCGCAAGACCAAAGAGGGGGACCUUCGGGCCUCUUGCCAUCGGAUGUGCCCAGAUGGGAUUAGCUAGUAGGUGGGGUAACGGCUCACCUAGGCGACGAUCCCUAGCUGGUCUGAGAGGAUGACCAGCCACACUGGAACUGAGACACGGUCCAGACUCCUACGGGAGGCAGCAGUGGGGAAUAUUGCACAAUGGGCGCAAGCCUGAUGCAGCCAUGCCGCGUGUAUGAAGAAGGCCUUCGGGUUGUAAAGUACUUUCAGCGGGGAGGAAGGGAGUAAAGUUAAUACCUUUGCUCAUUGACGUUACCCGCAGAAGAAGCACCGGCUAACUCCGUGCCAGCAGCCGCGGUAAUACGGAGGGUGCAAGCGUUAAUCGGAAUUACUGGGCGUAAAGCGCACGCAGGCGGUUUGUUAAGUCAGAUGUGAAAUCCCCGGGCUCAACCUGGGAACUGCAUCUGAUACUGGCAAGCUUGAGUCUCGUAGAGGGGGGUAGAAUUCCAGGUGUAGCGGUGAAAUGCGUAGAGAUCUGGAGGAAUACCGGUGGCGAAGGCGGCCCCCUGGACGAAGACUGACGCUCAGGUGCGAAAGCGUGGGGAGCAAACAGGAUUAGAUACCCUGGUAGUCCACGCCGUAAACGAUGUCGACUUGGAGGUUGUGCCCUUGAGGCGUGGCUUCCGGAGCUAACGCGUUAAGUCGACCGCCUGGGGAGUACGGCCGCAAGGUUAAAACUCAAAUGAAUUGACGGGGGCCCGCACAAGCGGUGGAGCAUGUGGUUUAAUUCGAUGCAACGCGAAGAACCUUACCUGGUCUUGACAUCCACGGAAGUUUUCAGAGAUGAGAAUGUGCCUUCGGGAACCGUGAGACAGGUGCUGCAUGGCUGUCGUCAGCUCGUGUUGUGAAAUGUUGGGUUAAGUCCCGCAACGAGCGCAACCCUUAUCCUUUGUUGCCAGCGGUCCGGCCGGGAACUCAAAGGAGACUGCCAGUGAUAAACUGGAGGAAGGUGGGGAUGACGUCAAGUCAUCAUGGCCCUUACGACCAGGGCUACACACGUGCUACAAUGGCGCAUACAAAGAGAAGCGACCUCGCGAGAGCAAGCGGACCUCAUAAAGUGCGUCGUAGUCCGGAUUGGAGUCUGCAACUCGACUCCAUGAAGUCGGAAUCGCUAGUAAUCGUGGAUCAGAAUGCCACGGUGAAUACGUUCCCGGGCCUUGUACACACCGCCCGUCACACCAUGGGAGUGGGUUGCAAAAGAAGUAGGUAGCUUAACCUUCGGGAGGGCGCUUACCACUUUGUGAUUCAUGACUGGGGUGAAGUCGUAACAAGGUAACCGUAGGGGAACCUGCGGUUGGAUCACCUCCUUA
rnacentral:rRNA from 1 species